rnacentral:rRNA from 1 species
UCAGUAACGGCGAGUGAAGCGGUAACAGCUCAAAUUUGAAAUCUGGCCCUUUUAGGGUCCGAGUUGUAAUUUGUAGAAGAUGCUUUGGGCGUGGCUCCGGUCUAAGUUCCUUGGAACAGGACGUCAUAGAGGGUGAGAAUCCCGUAUGUGACUGGUAGCUUUCGCCCGUGUAAAGCUCUUUCGACGAGUCGAGUUGUUUGGGAAUGCAGCUCAAAAUGGGUGGUAAAUUUCAUCUAAAGCUAAAUAUUGGCCAGAGACCGAUAGCGCACAAGUAGAGUGAUCGAAAGAUGAAAAGCACUUUGGAAAGAGAGUUAAACAGUACGUGAAAUUGUUGAAAGGGAAGCGCUUGCAACCAGACUCGCAGGCCGUCGAUCAUCUCAGGUUCUCCUGGGUGCACUCGGCGGUCUUCGGGCCAGCAUCGGUUUGGGUGGUGGGAUAAAGGCCUUGGGAAUGUAGCUUCUUUCGGGGAGUGUUAUAGCCCUCGGUGCAAUGCCGCCUACCCGGACCGAGGACCGCGCUUCGGCUAGGAUGCUGG